GACGAACGCUGGCGGCGUGCCUAAUACAUGCAAGUCGAACGAGAGCGACCGGUGCUUGCCCUGGUCAAUCUAGUGGCGAACGGGUGAGUAACACGUGGGUAACCUGCCCAUCAGAGGGGGAUAACAUCCGGAAACGGAUGCUAAAACCGCAUAGGUCUUCGAGCCGCAUGGCUUGAAGAGGAAAAGAGGCGCAAGCUUCUGCUGAUGGAUGGACCCGCGGUGCAUUAGCUAGUUGGUGAGGUAACGGCUCACCAAGGCCGUGAUGCAUAGCCGACCUGAGAGGGUGAUCGGCCACAUUGGGACUGAGACACGGCCCAAACUCCUACGGGAGGCAGCAGUAGGGAAUCUUCCGCAAUGGAUGCAAGUCUGACGGAGCAACGCCGCGUGAGUGAAGAAGGUUUUCGGAUCGUAAAACUCUGUUGUUAGAGAAGAACAAGUGCUAGAGUAACUGUUAGCGCCUUGACGGUAUCUAACCAGAAAGCCACGGCUAACUACGUG
rnacentral:rRNA from 1 species